CACGUAGGGGGCGAGCGUUGUCCGGAUUCAUUGGGCGUAAAGCGCGCGUAGGCGGCUCGGCAAGUCGGUCGUGAAAUGCCGGGGCUCAACCCCGGGACUGCGUCCGAUACUCCCGAGCUGGAGGCAGGUAGGGGAGAUCGGAAUUCCUGGUGUAGCGGUGAAAUGCGCAGAUAUCAGGAAGAACACCCGUGGCGAAGGCGGUUCUCUGGGACGGUACUGACGCUGAGACGCGAAAGCGUGGGGAGCGAACAGG
rnacentral:rRNA from 1 species